GAUGAACGCUGGCGGCGUGCCUAAUACAUGCAAGUAGAACGCUGAAGGAAGGAGCUUGCUCUUUCCGGAUGAGUUGCGAACGGGUGAGUAACGCGUAGGUAACCUGCCUGGUAGCGGGGGAUAACUAUUGGAAACGAUAGCUAAUACCGCAUAACAGUAGAUGUUGCAUGAUAUCUACUUAAAAGGUGCAAUUGCACCACUACCAGAUGGACCUGCGUUGUAUUAGCUAGUUGGUGAGGUAACGGCUCACCAAGGCGACGAUACAUAGCCGACCUGAGAGGGUGAUCGGCCGCACUGGGACUGAGACACGGCCCAGACUCCUACGGGAGGCAGCAGUAGGGAAUCUUCGGCAAUGGACGGAAGGCUGGCCGAGCAACGCCGCGUGAGUGAAGAAGGGUUUCGGAUCGUAAAGCUCUGUUGUAAGAGAAGAACGAGUGUGAGAGUGGAAAGUUCACACUGUGACGGUAUCUUACCAGAAAGGGACGGCUAACUACGUG
rnacentral:rRNA from 1 species